rnacentral:RNase_P_RNA from 2 species
CGAGCCGGCCGGGCGGCCGCGAGGGACCUUCACCGGUCCUUCGAGGAACGUCCGGGCUCCACACGGCAGGGUGGUGGGUAACGCCCACCCGGGGUGACCCGCGGGACAGUGCCACAGAAAACAGACCGCCGGGGAUCUUCGGAUUCCCGGUAAGGGUGAAACGGUGGUGUAAGAGACCACCAGCGUCCGAGGUGACUCGGACGGCUAGGUAAACCCCACCCGGAGCAAGGUCAAGAGGGGCGGUCGCUUCACGGCGACAACCCUGCGCGGACGAUCGAGGGCUGCCCGCCCGAGUCCGCGGGUAGACCGCACGAGCCUGUCGGCAACGGCAGGCCUAGAUGGAUGGCCGCCUCCCCGGCCCCCGCGAGGGGACCGGGAGACAGAACCCGGCGUACAGGCCGACUCGUCCG